rnacentral:rRNA from 1 species
UACGUAGGAGGCGAGCGUUGUCCGGAGUUACUGGGCGUAAAGCGCAUGCAGGCGGUUGGUCGCGUUCGGAGUGACAGUUCCCGGCUCAACCGGGAGAGUGUUUCGAAUACGGGCCAACUUGAGAGCUUCAGAGGGAUGCGGAAUUCCGGGUGUAGUGGUGAAAUGCGUAGAUAUCCGGAGGAACACCAAAGGCGAAGGCAGCAUCCUGGGGAGUAUCUGACGCUCAGAUGCGAAAGCUAGGGGAGCGAACAGG